rnacentral:rRNA from 1 species
CCUACGGGUGGCAGCAGUGAGGAAUAUCGGUCAAUGGGCGGGAGCCUGAACCAGUCAAGCCGCGUGAGGGAAGAAGGUACAGCGUAUCGUAAACCUCUUUUGUCAGGGAACAAAGGCGGGGACUAGUCCACGGCUGAGGGUACCUGAAGAAAAAGCAUCGGCUAACUCCGUGCCAGCAGCCGCGGUAAUACGGAGGAUGCGAGCGUUAUCCGGAUUUAUUGGGGUUAAAGGAUGCGCAGGCGGCCUGUUAAGUCAGCGGUAAAAGCCCGGGGCUCAACCCCGGCGAGCCGUUGAAACUGGCGGGUGGGAGUGGGAGAGAGGUACGCGGAGUGCGCGGUGUUGCGGUGAAAUGCUUAGAUAUCGCGCAGAACCCCUGUUGCGAAGGCAGCGUACCGGCUCCACACUGACGCUGAGGCACGAAAGCGUGGGUAUCAAACAGGAUUAGAUACCCCAGUAGUC